ensembl:snRNA U1 U1 spliceosomal RNA
AUACUUACCUGGCAGAGGAGACACCGUGAUCAGGAAGGUGGUUUCCCUAGGGCGAGGUUCAUCCACUGCAUUUGGGAUGUGCUGACCCCUGCAAUUUCUCCAAAUUCGGGAAACGUGACACAUAAUUUGUAGUGUUGGAGGACUGCAUUUGUGCUCUCCCCUG